UUAGUUUUGAAACGGAAUGGAACAGUUUGCGAGUCGCCGGCUCCGCGCACGGCCGACUGAUGCAGGCAGUUCGUUGCGCUCAAACCGAGAAUUUACUAUUUGAAAAAUAAUCAUAAAAACUGUUUUACAUUAAAAUAAUCGCACCAGUGCCUUACAUAUGGAUGUGUUUGUGAAUGCAUGGAUUUAAUAGUUUAUAAAAACAGAACAUUUUAUGGAAUUUAACAGCGUGUGAAUAUUCUGAAGCAUCCAGUUUGUGUCCUUUUGACGAACAAUAUCGAAAUUUUAAAGCAAAGUGACCUGUAACAAGUGCUCUUAUACAAACAAGUACAAAUACGAAAUAUAUUUUAUUAUUAUACAUUCAAUGGUUUUUUUACUGGAUGUCCGCUGCUACCACGAUGACGUCACCUUCCGGAGUGUUCCGCGUCAUGAAUGAUGAUACAGACUUAUAGGUAUGUUUCUAUUUAUUUAUGCG
rnacentral:lncRNA from 1 species